rnacentral:rRNA from 1 species
UACAACUCUUAUCGAUAAGCCAUUGGAGGGCAAGUCUGGUGCCAGCAGCCGCGGUAAUUCCAGCUCCAAUAGCGUAUAUUAACGUUGUUGCAGUUAAAAAGCUCGUAGUUGAAGUGAGGGAGUGUGUAGUAGGACCGACUUGAUCGGAAGUGCUGCAACCUCCCCCCUCCAAUCGGUGUAGUGGGGUAUUCAGUUAUUUCACUACUCCUUUGGUCGUUUACUGUGAGAAAAUUAGAGUGUUCAAAGCGGGCGUUUGUUUGAAUAGAUUAGCAUGGAAUAAUGAUUGAAGGCUUUCGUGUUCGAUUUGAUUGGUUUGUUCAUGGAAGCAAGGUUAAAAGGAACAGUUGGGGGUAUUCAUAUUCACUAGUUAGAGGUGAAAUUCUCGGAUUUAUGGAAGAUGAAC